rnacentral:misc_RNA from 1 species
AGCAUACCCUUUUCUUUUCUCUCUCUAUUCAGUAUCCGAAGGUAAAUGUGUAGAAUCAGGGGGUAAUGGUUCAGUAGGUACUUGUAAAGCUUCAGUAGGUGAUUGUGAAGAAGCAGCUUCAGCAGUUUCAGAUUCCUCCUGCAUCAACUUCUGCAACCCAGGCUUCAAUUCCUUGUUACAGAACUCCUCAUACUCCCCUCUAUCCCCUCCUUUCUUCUUAACCUCCACCACCACUAAUUUUGGUGUCAACUCAAAUAUCUCAGCUGCAAUUGUUAAUGGACCUUUGACACCCUCCCUAGACCCUUCCAAACUUACUCUGCAAUCCUUUGUCCUCACUGUAAAACUCACAACUUUAGCAAUUUCCUCCAGUUUUGAUAUAAUCUUGGAUACAGGAGCACCAGAAACAAUUCUUGCUCCCUCUCCACCAUCUUCAAACAACCCAGAUAAAUUAAACCCAGGCGAAAAGGAUAUAAUGUCAAAAGCAUUCAAACUUGCAGGUCUAGGUAAUGAAGUAACCCUUCUUCGAUUUUCGUUUCCAUUUCAGAUUCUGAUUCGGACAGUGAUUGGUCGGAGGAGGAGCCCGCAUCAUCCUGUUCUCCCUCAACGUCAAAACUAAAAACUUUAUCAUCCUCAAUGUAAAAUUUGAUAUGCUUGAACCCCUUUUUGAACCACUUAUUCUCCAUUAUCUCGGGGAUCGUGAUUCGAGUUUCAGGGUUUGUGUCAAGAAGCCUCGAGAGGAGUCUAAUGAGCUCCUGAGAGAACCAUCUAGGACACCUAAACUCACCCUUAUAGAUCUUCUUG